rnacentral:lncRNA from 1 species
GUGGCUUGAUGUUUUGCCCCUAAUAUAGUAUUCUUUGGUGUAAACACAGACUUCAAGUGUUCUGAAUACUGAAUGAGGGCAUGGGAAGGUAAGACCAGAAGAACAGGUCAUCGGGGUCUGUAAUACUGUAAGAGACUGCUCACCUUGUGAGAGGAAUGCUAUCCUUGUGCAGCUCCUCUUCCCCAUAUUUAAGAACCUGGGGAGAGGAGGAGGAGAGGUGAGUGAUAAUCUCAUUGAUUGGUAUUUUGACCCUACCUCGUUUCCUUGUAGGUCUCAGCCUUGGAUCAGGAGAUAAUUGAAGUAGAUCCUGACACUAAGGAAAUGCUGAAGCUUUUGGACUUCGGCAGUCUGUCCAACCUUCAGGUCACUCAGCCUACAGUUGGGAUGAAUUUCAAAACGCCUCGGGGACCUGUUUGAAUUUUUUCUGUAGUGCUGUAUUAUUUC